GAUGAACGCUGGCGGCGUGCCUAAUACAUGCAAGUCGAGCGAACAGAUAAGGAGCUUGCUCCUUUUACGUUAGCGGCGGACGGGUGAGUAACACGUGGGUAACCUACCUAUAAGACUGGGAUAACUUCGGGAAACCGGAGCUAAUACCGGAUAACAUUUGGAACCGCAUGGUUCUAAAGUGAAAGAUGGUUUUGCUAUCACUUAUAGAUGGACCCGCGCCGUAUUAGCUAGUUGGUAAGGUAACGGCUUACCAAGGCAACGAUACGUAGCCGACCUGAGAGGGUGAUCGGCCACACUGGAACUGAGACACGGUCCAGACUCCUACGGGAGGCAGCAGUAGGGAAUCUUCCGCAAUGGGCGAAAGCCUGACGGAGCAACGCCGCGUGAGUGAUGAAGGGUUUCGGCUCGUAAAACUCUGUUAUUAGGGAAGAACAAACGUGUAAGUAACUGUGCACGUCUUGACGGUACCUAAUCAGAAAGCCACGGCUAACUACGUG
rnacentral:rRNA from 1 species